AAAUAACAAUACGGGGCUUAAUGUCUUGUAAUUGGAAUGAUGGGAAUUUAAACCUCUUCCAGAGUAUCAAUUGGAGGGCAAGUCUGGUGCCAGCAGCCGCGGUAAUUCCAGCUCCAAUAGCGUAUAUUAAAAUUGUUGCAGUUAAAAAGCUCGUAGUUGAAUUUCUGCUGCAUUGUUUCUUCUCAUGUCGAGUGAUUCAUUGUGGCUUAUUUCGGAUUGUUUUUUACUUUCCGGAUGAUUACUUUGAGAAAAUUAGAGUGCUCAAAGCAGGCUUUUGCCUUGAAUAGUUUAGCAUGGAAUAAUAAAGUAGGACUUUGGUUCUAUUUUGUUGGUUUUAGGUACCAAAGUAAUGGUUAAUAGGAACAGUUGGGGGCAUUCGUAUUUA
rnacentral:rRNA from 1 species